GGGGCAGUGGCUCAAUGGCAGAGUGUCUGCUUCACAUGCAGAUGGUCCAAGGUUCAAUCCCUGGCCUCUCCA